UAAGCGGAGGAAAAGAAACUAACAAGGAUUCCCCUAGUAACUGCGAGUGAAGCGGGAAAAGCUCAAAUUUAAAAUCUGGUGGCCUUUGGUCAUCCGAGUUGUAAUUUAGAGAAGCGUCUUCCGCGCUGGACCAUGCACAAGUCUCCUGGAAUGGAGCGUCAUAGAGGGUGAGAAUCCCGUCUUUGGCAUGGAUGCACCAGGGCUUCUGUGAUGCGCUCUCGAAGAGUCGAGUUGUUUGGGAAUGCAGCUCAAAAUGGGUGGUGAACUCCAUCUAAAGCUAAAUAUUGGCGAGAGACCGAUAGCGAACAAGUACCGUGAGGGAAAGAUGAAAAGCACUUUGGAAAGAGAGUGAAACAGUACGUGAAAUUGUUGAAAGGGAAACGCUUGAAGUCAGUCGCGUCGACCGAGACUCAGCCUCGCCUUGGCUUGGUGUACUUCUCGGGCGACGGGUCAGCAUCAAUUUUGCCCCUCGGAUAAUGACAAGGGAAAGGUAGCACCUUUAUGGGUGUGUUAUAGUCUCCUGUCGCAUGCGAGGGUUGGGAUUGAGGAACUCAGCACGCGCCUUUUGGCGUCGGGGCUUCGGCCUACGUACGUGCUUAGGAUGCUGGCAUAAUGGCUUUAAACGACC
rnacentral:rRNA from 1 species